rnacentral:rRNA from 1 species
UACGGGGGGAGCAAGCGUUGUUCGGAUUUACUGGGCGUAAAGGGCGCGUAGGCGGCCACUGCAAGUCGGUUGUGAAAUCUCCGGGCUUAACCCGGAAAGGUCAAUCGAUACUGCAGGGCUAGAGUGCAGAAGGGGCAACUGGAAUUCUCGGUGUAGCGGUGAAAUGCGUAGAUAUCGAGAGGAACACCUGCGGCGAAGGCGGGUUGCUGGGCUGACACUGACGCUGAAGCGCGAAAGCUAGGGGGAGCGAACGGG